GCCUGGUUAGUACGUGGGUGGGUGACCACCUCGGAAUACCAGGU
rnacentral:rRNA from 1 species